GGCAACCCUGACAGAGCAACGCCGCGUGGGGGAGGAAUGUCUGUGGAUUGUAAACCCCUUUUCUCAGGGAAGAAGUUCUGACGGUACCUGAGGAAUAAGCAUCGGCUAACUCCGCGCCAGCAGCCGCGGUAAUACGGAGGAUGCAAGCGUUAUCCGGAAUCAUUGGGCGUAAAGCGUCCGCAGGUGGCUCAUCAAGUCUGCUGUUAAAGACAGAAGCUCAACUUCUGAUAGGCAGUGGAAACUGGUGAGCUGGAGUACGGUAGGGGUUGAGGGAAUUCCCAGUGUAGCGGUGAAAUGCGUAGAUAUUGGGAAGAACACCAGUGGCGAAGGCGCUCAACUGGGCCGUAACUGACACUCAGGGACGAAAGCUAGGGUAGCG
rnacentral:rRNA from 1 species